AAACUUUUUCCAUUUUUUCCUUUAAUAUAAAAUUUGGAGUAUCGCUCGCAGACGCAUCUGCAUGUUAAUAAAUUGAUCUUAACCUAUUAUUAAAAUCAAAAGACGCCUAGCUGUUAGUUUAAGAUAGAUUUAGAGAUACCAUCCAGAAAAAUAUAUAUGGAGGAGAGCAACUCUACAGUGAACUUUUAGCAGUCCUUAUUAUUCACAGUUUUAAUGUACAGUCAGCAAAGAUAUUAGCUUGGCACUCCUGCAUACACAUGCAUAUGCAUGCAUGCAUGGCUAAUAGUUUUGCUGACUGUACCAUUGAAGUAUUUUGCGUUAAUGUGGAGGGAUCUAUUCGUUUUUAUAUUAACUUAGGUUUAAGUAUUAUUUUUGGACUUACCAGCCAACACCGCGUUGGAUUUUGUGAUUUAUUUUUGUAUGAGAAAAGGCGUUUGUUAUACAGUUUUAGUUGAGAUUCUCCGCUAGUAUGGUAGAUAUCCUAUUAAAGCGUUUUUUUAGUUACCGACUUUUUUCUGCAGAUUUGAAUAAACAUUUGAUGGGUAAUAACAUAAUAAGAAAAGACUUCCACUGUUUUCUUAGCUGUUUAGAUACAAUAUCCAUUAUAUGCCUGGGACAUUAGUGUGGCCCCAGAAUUACACAGUUACGAAUAAGAAAUUGUACAAAAAAAUUGAAAUUGUGUUUCAUUUGGACCUUAUCUGCCCAUCAAAUUUUCGAUUCAAAAAGUCGAUAAUAAAAAUGAGGCCUUAUUUUUCUCCAUUAUUAUAAACGCAGUGUUUUAUGUUAUUGACAUUUACAUUGGAAGAACAAUUUUUAUACCCUUGAUUCCAAGCGAUAUUCAUAACUGAGUUUUAUUUGACUGUAAGUCUUUUGUUGGAUGACUUUUUAAGCAAUUUUUGAUUUUAAUUAAACUUAUUUACUUGUUGGUUAAUAUUUAUGACGUUAAAAUUUAAUUUGCAUUUUGAUUCUUAUUUACUUGUCGCGUAAAGAUUGUUUUCCGUUAACAGAAAUCAUACUUUUCUUACUGAUUAUUAUGAGAAUGACGAAUUUAGUAGUGAAAGAAAUUUAGGAAAAUUCUCGGUUCCGUACUUAUACAUAUAUUAUAUGUAAAGUUAAUUGAAAAAGACAAGUGCCAACCAACUGAACCAACAACCAACCUAUUAGAGACAGCUACUUCAAACAAAGUUUGCAUUAUUAUGUGAUAUAUUAACAUGUAAAAAUAGCAAUACGAAUGGUGUAAAACAUCUACCAAACUAAGACUAUUGAAAUAGUUCAGUUCACAACAAUAUAUAAUUAAAUUUUGUAAAAAGCUACAAUUUCACAAGUGUAAACUGCCAACAUUGCUGCGAUUAACGCACGCUGGACCAAUGACGUAUGUCAGUGUUGCUAUUUUACUCUUUUGAAAUCGUAAUUAUGUAGAAAAUCUUAUAAAAUAGCAAUAGCCCUGUUAAUUAAAAAAAUGCCUUAAAACUUCUGUUAUAAAAUUAAAAUAGAAACCAAACUGAUAAAGUUACUCCAAAACAGACAUAAACUACAAACUGUAUUUAUAUUGUAUUAUCGCCUUGGUGUGUUUAAGGUUUAGUUUAUAAUUAUUAUAAGUAACGCCACAAAUAAAUGUAUUUUUAAGUUACAAA